CCCUGUUAUACUUUACAUAGAAUUUGUUUACUUGGGUAGUAAUAAGUUAUGGUCUUAAAAUCUAAAGGAUUUGGCGGUAUCCAAGUCUGGUUAGAGGAACCUGCACUGUAAACGAUAAUCCACGAACUAUCUUACUCUGUCUUGUUUAUCAGUUUAUAUACCGCCAUUAUAAAGUAAUAUUUAAAAUUAUUUAUUGAAAUAGAAGGUUUCUAGUAUAUUAGGUCAGGGUGUAGCCAAUGAUAGAGUAGUUGUGGGUUACAAUAUAAUAUUUAUAUAGACGGAUAAGGCUUUGAAAUGGUUUUAGAAGGUGGAUUUAAUAGUAAAUAUAUUUUAAUAUGGUAUAUUGAUAGUAGCUCUAGGAUAUGUACAUAUCGCCC
rnacentral:rRNA from 1 species